UAUGGUCAUAUUUGACAACUUGCACACACUAGCAUAGUAAUUUUAUAAUCAUGCUAUUUCCAUUUUUCUUGCCUUUUAAAAAGAAAUUUCUAAACAAACAACUACAAGGAAAACUUAGUAACUCUGACAUUACAGGUUUGGUUUUUUGUUUUGUUUUGUUUUUUUGGUUUGUUUUCUCUCUUUUGUUCUCACCUACAAGGCCCAAUUGCUGGGUUUUUGUUUUCAAUCUAUCAUUUUUACUGCUUUAUUAAAUGACAAAUGAUUGUUGGUGCAUAAUGUCUUGCAGCAAAUAAACAAUUAUUUUGUCCAAUGAAAUCCUACCAUUUUAAUUAGAUGGAACUGUGCAUGCUUUUUUUUUUCUGUAACAUAUGGUACAGCCUCAACUGAAUUAACAUCAGUGGUUCACUAUGAGGUCAGCAUAUGUUUAUAUUUUUAAUGAAGAAUUACUUUGAAUAAGUUGUGUGUAGAUUUUAAAUGAUAUUGUGGAGUUGCUUUGGUGAAUAAUGUGUUAAUUGAAGGACAUUUAUUAACUGGUUACUAUGCUAAUCUUUUAACAAAUCCUCCUGGAAAUAAGGGUAAUGAUAUUUAAGUAUUUGAUAUGAAAAGAAAAUAUAGGAUAUUAAUAAAUUAAAGGUGGAGGCAGGAGGAUCAUAAAUUCGAGGCUAUGCUCGAGUACAUAGCCAGUUAGAGGCUAGCCUAGGAUAUGGAUGAGUCCUCAAAAAAUAAUGUGUGUCUGUGUCUGUAAGAGAGAGAGAAUCUUUUCACACACACAUCCAUACAUACAUACAUACAUACAUACAUACAUACAUACAUACAUACAUACAUACAUACAUACACUGACCUCCCCAUACAGAAGAAAGAAAGGAAGAUGUAACUCAUCCUCCCGUCCAGGUCCAUUAGUUUGUCUUUGAGGUUUUUAUGGUUUCAAUCUAUGCAGAAAGUUAAGGAAUUUAAAAAUAUGUAUACUUAAAAUUAACCAAUUUCACAUUUUUUUUCUUGGUCCAUUCUUUUUUUUUUUUAAAUCAUUGCAGUGAAACCUUCAGCCAAGCUAAAGUCAAGUGCUUAUAGACUUCUGAAGCAGUGAGAAUGAGAGAAAGAAAGAAAAAAAACUGUGUCUGCUAAUUCUUUGUCUAAGGUUACCCGAAGAAAGGGAAAAAACCCAGCCUCAUAUUUAUAUAAAGAAUAUGGAAUUGUAGGUAAUACCUGAUGGACGUUCUCUAGCCAUGUGGUCUCUGUCCAAGGUAACCACGCAACUGCAUAUUUUGUGCACCACUCCAGUAUAUGUGCAUUUAUGAUGGCUUUUUCUUAAUGGGGGGGGGGUGUUGAAAUGGUCUUACUGUAGCUAAUGCUGCUCUGGAACUAUAGCUCUGGUUGGCCUGGAACUCACUCCACCUACAUCCCCUGCAAGCUGGGAUUACAGAUGUGAGUCAUGGCAUCUGGGUUUAUAAAGUAACUUAAAUUGGUACAACUAGUAAAUACUGGUGUGAUUUCUUUGUGUCUUGGCUGAUUUUUACUGCUCAGCAUGAACUGAUGAAACAGAGCAGGUAGGAAUUGCCAUUCGUACACCAAGACCUCGAAGAUAUCUGCUUAUGCCCCUUUUAUCAUCAAAUGGUUUGUAUAUCUUCUUCACUACUUUCCUGUGUAGAUAAUAAAAAUUUAUCUGAAGUCAUUAUAAGGUACUAAUUUACAAUCUUUGUCUAACAUAAUGAAAUCAUGAAAGUUCAGCUGUCAAUGGGUUUGAACUGAACAGUUGAAAAGAGAGGAUAUUUCAAACGUUAUUGAGUUGUUAGAUCAAAUGAAAGGAGCCAAGAGAUCAGUUCCCAACUCUAGCAUUCUCAUAAAUAUAUACAUCAGUUAGUAAUGUGAGGUUUAAAUUUUGUGUUUCUUACAAACUGUUACUUACUGUUAAGACAAUAAAAUACUCAAAUCCUCAUGGCAUUUGGACAAGCAUAUAAUGUACUUCCAGCACAAACUCUUACACUCUAAUUCUCUCCUUUUCUUCCUGUUAGUCGCCUUGUACUCCUCAGUAGUUUUGUUCCUACAUCAUGUUACAUACACAAACAUGAUUUUAUGUAUCUAUAUAUAAAAGCUUAAAACUACAAAUAAAAGAGAAAGUGAUACU
rnacentral:lncRNA from 1 species